rnacentral:rRNA from 1 species
GAUGAACGCUGGCGGCGUGCCUAAUACAUGCAAGUCGAGCGAACAGACGAGGAGCUUGCUCCUCUGACGUUAGCGGCGGACGGGUGAGUAACACGUGGAUAACCUACCUAUAAGACUGGGAUAACUUCGGGAAACCGGAGCUAACACCGGAUAAUGUAUUGAACCGCAUGGUUCAAUAGUGAAAGACGGUUUUGCUGUCACUUAUAGAUGGAUCCGCGCCGCAUUAGCUAGUUGGUAAGGUAACGGCUUACCAAGGCAACGAUGCGUAGCCGACCUGAGAGGGUGAUCGGCCACACUGGAACUGAGACACGGUCCAGACUCCUACGGGAGGCAGCAGUAGGGAAUCUUCCGCAAUGGGCGAAAGCCUGACGGAGCAACGCCGCGUGAGUGAUGAAGGUCUUCGGAUCGUAAAACUCUGUUAUUAGGGAAGAACAAAUGUGUAAGUAACUAUGCACGUCUUGACGGUACCUAAUCAGAAAGCCACGGCUAACUACGUG